CGCCGCGACGACUCCCCCGCCGGCUGAUUCGGCCUGCAGCAUUAGGCGGACGCACGCGGUGAGCGACGGCGGCGCGACAAGGCGGACAAACGAGACGGCCCAUCAUCACUCAUGGGCGGCGGCCGGCGGCCGGCGGCGAGCGACGAACAGCGAACGGCGACGGCUCUGCCUCCCGCCCGCCCGCGAGCGCGCGCGCGUCCCGAGGAGGAGGCGCGGCCGGCCUUAAUUGCGCUGCUUUCCUCUCGUGUUGCGUUGUGUGACUCCGUGCGCAGCGGCUCGCUCGCCACGGACCCUGCUAAAACGGCGCGCGGUGGGGCCCGUGCGUCAGUGGGAUAGCCGCCAGCCAGGAGCACGGGCCUAGUCAAGCGCGCCGGGCCGCAGAAAAUCCUCUUUUAUUACGCCCACCGUUCGUCAUACACACACACACACACACAAUUCCUCCCCCUUUUUUUGUUUUCAAAAAGCUUCAAACGCAAAUACAGUACCGUAAUCACGUUCCGUUCUACUUUUCCCUAAAAAAAACUCUACUCUACUACUAACAGGAAAAAUAAACUUAACAACAACAAAAAAGAUCUACACAACGGAAAUCGAAUGCGAUUACAAGACCCGGAGAAGGCCGGAUCGUGAUCGUGAUCGCGUUCACGGCCCAUACGGCCCCCGGCAUCGGAACUACCAAUCCAAUCUACUAGUCCCCGAUGAGAUCGGCGGGAGCCACCCUGCGCGCCGGCCGGGAUCCAUCCAAGCGAGGCGGCGCCGCCGCACGGGCGAACGAAAGGAGAGAAGAAAAGGGACGACGUGGUACAGAUCAACAUCUCACCCUAUGUCAAGGUCUCGCCGCGCGUGCGCUCCCGGAUCGGUCGCCUUCGCCGCCUCGCGCUGCUCUGCAAUGGGAUGAGACUCCGACUCCGGCCGGCUGGUUAUAACAAGAGCGAGAUGAGCCCGGGGGAUGGGAGGGGACUGCAACAGACUAGCAGAAGAGAAUACACUAGGGGGUGAGAGGGGGAGGGAGAGGGGGGUGCAGCAGGGCCGCCACGCCUGGAACUCGCACUCUUGUUUGAGAGCACGGGCGAUAUGCAGGUCGGGGUGGGGGCGAUUGGCACCUUUUUAUAGGAUCGCUGGGCCU
rnacentral:lncRNA from 1 species